rnacentral:lncRNA from 1 species
UGCUGCCACCCAACUUGCUGUCAAAACACCUGCUGCAGGACCACCUGCUGCCAGCCCACUUGUGUGGCCAGCUGCUGCCAGCCUUCCUGCUGCAGCACACCCUGCUGCCAGCCCACCUGCUGUGGGUCCAGCUGCUGUGGGACCACCUGCUGCCAGCCUACCUGCUGCCAGCCCACCUGCUGCAGGAACACCUCUUGCCAGCCCACCUGCUGUGGGUCCAGCUGCUGCCAGCCUCCUUGCUGCCGUCCCACCUGCUGCCAGACCACCUGCUACAGGACCACCUGUUGCCGCCCCAGCUGUUGCUGCAGUCCUUGCUGUGUCUCCAGCUGCUGCCAGCCUUCCUGCUGCUAA